rnacentral:rRNA from 1 species
GACGAACGCUGGCGGCGUGCUUAACACAUGCAAGUCGAACGGGCCUUGUCCCCUUUUUUUUUGGGGGUGGGGUUAGUGGCGAACGGGUGAGUAACACGUGAGUAACCUGCCCCUCACUUCUGGAUAACCGCUUGAAAGGGUGGCUAAUACGGGGUGUUCUGGCCUGCUCGCAUGGGUGGGUUUGGAAAGAUUCGACCGGCUUUGGUUGUUUUGGUGGGGGGUGGGCUCGCGGCCUUUCAGCGUGUUGGUGGGGUGAUGGCCUGCCAAGGCUUUGACGGGUAGCCGGCCUGAGAGGGUGGGCGGUCACACUGGGACUGAGACACGGCCCAGACUCCUACGAGAGGCAGCAGUGGGGGAUUUUGCACAAUGGGCGCAAGCCUGAUGCAGCGACGCCGCGUGAGGGAUGGAGGCCUUCGGGUUGUGAACCUCUUUCGCCAGUGAAGAAGGUCCUGCUCUUUGUGGUGGGGUUGACGGUAGCUGGGUUAAUGAAGCGCCGGCUAACUACGUG